UAGGGAAUCUUCGGCAAUGGGGGCAACCCUGACCGAGCAACGCCGCGUGAGUGAAGAAGGUUUUCGGAUCGUAAAGCUCUGUUGUAAGAGAAGAACGUGUGUGAGAGUGGAAAGUUCACACAGUGACGGUAACUUACCAGAAAGGGACGGCUAACUACGUGCCAGCAGCCGCGGUAAUACGUAGGUCCCGAGCGUUGUCCGGAUUUAUUGGGCGUAAAGCGAGCGCAGGCGGUUUAAUAAGUCUGAAGUUAAAGGCAGUGGCUUAACCAUUGUUCGCUUUGGAAACUGUUAAACUUGAGUGCAGAAGGGGAGAGUGGAAUUCCAUGUGUAGCGGUGAAAUGCGUAGAUAUGUGGAGGAACACCGGUGGCGAAAGCGGCUCUCUGGUCUGUAACUGACGCUGAGGCUCGAAAGCGUGGGGAGCAAACAGG
rnacentral:rRNA from 1 species